AGGUGUCCUGUUUCUUAAAGAUAAGCAGAGUUAAAGCUGGGUAGAAAUUCAGCUAUGUCAUAUUACCAUUAAACUGUGUAACAAAUUCCUCCUUUUCUCUACAUUUACUCCUCAUUCUUGAGGGGUAUGAAGGGAUGAAGGUCCAUCUUCUAUAACUUCUUUAAGCUGAAUCCAGCACAACAGGAAGUGUUGGUGACUACACACACCCUACCUUGUUCUGCCAAGAGGUCAUCAAGAGCCGGAUGGUUAUAACGCACGAUAUUGGCUAGGGUAGACUCUGGAUGAAACAAGGUGACUCCAAGAGCAAAGCUUAGAAUACCUGAAUACCUGCAAGCAAGACAAGUAGAUUAAGUCCUGACAGAAAAGUAUACGCGGGCCCAAGCUAUUUUUAGCCUCUGUGGACAGCUCCAUAGGGAGAAUGAACUAUUCGUCAACGUCACCCAUAUUUUACUGAAGAUUUUGAAGGUAUUCCAAUGUGACUGACUACUACGUUUCCUCACAUGUGUGCUGCUGUAUCUGAGAUCACCAUGUUUUCAAUUAUCUCAUAUGAACCUGUUUCUGUUCAGAAAAAAUCCUUCCCUGGUGAUCCUAUUGUGGUAGACAUAAAACUGUGCCACCCAGAUCCCAUUCCAGGGAAGAAUAUGCUGCUGAGCUGUUGGAAGUACAAUCAGUGGAAAACCUUGGUCUGUCAGCAACUUCAAGGUUUGCCUCCUUUGCAGAAAUGGUCCAUUCAAAGUCAUGCCCUUCCUAUAGCAGUCUACAUUCAACCACUGAGUGAGGCAGAAAUAAAAAAGUGCUGAUAAUUUUCAACCUACAAGGGCAUUAAUGAGCAAUACCUGCUCCAGAGCUCCACAGUGGGUUCUCAGAAGAUGUGUCUUGCCUGCAGCACAGCUUGACUCCUUCCACUAUUCAUUUUUUCUUCUUUUCCUUUUACUUCAGAGGCAUUAAAAAUGAAUAAAAAUCUUGAACUCCA
rnacentral:lncRNA from 1 species